rnacentral:misc_RNA from 1 species
GUUACGAUGUAUCAAUAUUUCUCUAAUCUAAACAAAGAGGAAGAAGAAUAAGAAAAGCUCACCUUGCCUAUAGAAAAUGCUGCUAUAUUACAGUUUAAUACACAAUUCUUCAGUUUUCCCUUUAUGGGUAGAAGGGUUUUGCCCUGCCCUCCUAUUAUUUGGCUGCCACCAAAUUACAUUAACCAGUAACCACAGAACCACUACACACAAAAAUAUUACUACCUUUUUUUUUUGUUAAAAUCAUUCUCAGUCCUCUCUUUUAAAUUUCUCCAUCUCUUCCUCUGUUAUCACUGGAUGAUGACGCUUCUUCUUAUUCUUCUUGUUGUUUUCCAAAUGCAUCUUGACAUAAAAAUUCAAGAAAAGCAAAAGGAUUGCUCCAUUAAGCACUGAAUUGAAGAGCCAGGCUCCAAUUCCGUUGCACCCUCCUUUCAUAAAGUGAAGCAAGAGCACCCCAACAUGGCAAGCGAGGUUGCAACCCAACAACACCAUAUGGCAAUUCACUACGAAAGGGAAGCAAGCGCUGGGCAAGCCUAUUGCCGUCCAAAAUCUAUACCCAUAAACCACAGAGUAAGCCAAAGUAGCCAGAAGAAUUGCCAGGACCUGAAACGAUUGCGAGAAUUCAAGCCACAAGAAUGA